rnacentral:rRNA from 1 species
GAUGAACGCUGGCGGCGUGCCUAAUACAUGCAAGUCGAGCGAACAGACGAGGAGCUUGCUCCUCUGACGUUAGCGGCGGACGGGUGAGUAACACGUGGAUAACCUACCUAUAAGACUGGGAUAACUUCGGGAAACCGGAGCUAAUACCGGAUAAUAUAUUGAACCGCAUGGUUCAAUAGUGAAAGACGGUUUUGCUGUCACUUAUAGCUGGAUCCGCGCCGCAUUAGCUAGUUGGUAAGGUAACGGCUUACCAAGGCAACGAUGCGUAGCCGACCUGAGAGGGUGAUAGGCCACACUGGAACUGAGACACGGUCCAGACUCCUACGGGAGGCAGCAGUAGGGAAUCUUCCGCAAUGGGCGAAAGCCUGACGGAGCAACGCCGCGUGAGUGAUGAAGGUCUUCGGAUCGUAAAACUCUGUUAUUAGGGAAGAACAAAUGUGUAAGUAACUAUGCACGUCUUGACGGUACCUAAUCAGAAAGCCACGGCUAACUACGUG